UGGGGAAUAUUGCACAAUGGGCGCAAGCCUGAUGCAGCCAUGCCGCGUGUGUGAAGAAGGCCUUCGGGUUGUAAAGCACUUUCAGCGGGGAGGAAGGCGGUGAGGUUAAUAACCUCACCGAUUGACGUUACCCGCAGAAGAAGCACCGGCUAACUCCGUGCCAGCAGCCGCGGUAAUACGGAGGGUGCAAGCGUUAAUCGGAAUUACUGGGCGUAAAGCGCACGCAGGCGGUUUGUUAAGUCAGAUGUGAAAUCCCCGGGCUCAACCUGGGAACUGCAUCUGAUACUGGCAAGCUUGAGUCUCGUAGAGGGGGGUAGAAUUCCAGGUGUAGCGGUGAAAUGCGUAGAGAUCUGGAGGAAUACCGGUGGCGAAGGCGGCCCCCUGGACGAAGACUGACGCUCAGGUGCGAAAGCGUGGGGAGCAAACAGG
rnacentral:rRNA from 1 species